rnacentral:rRNA from 1 species
UACAGAGGUCCCAAGCGUUGUUCGGAUUCAUUGGGCGUAAAGGGUGCGUAGGCGGUUCGGUAAGUCGGGUGUGAAAUCUCGGGGCUUAACUCCGAAACCGCAUUCGAUACUGCCGUGCUUGAGGACUGGAGAGGAGACUGGAAUUUACGGUGUAGCGGUGAAAUGCGUAGAUAUCGUAAGGAAGACCAGUGGCGAAGGCGGGUGUCUGGGCAGUUACUGACGCUGAGGCGCGAAAGCGAGGGGAGCAAACGGG